rnacentral:rRNA from 1 species
GUCCACGCUGUAAACGAUGUGUGCUAGACGUUGGGGGGUUGCCUCCCGGUGUCGCAGCUAACGCGGUAAGCACACCGCCUGGGGAGUACGGCCGCAAGGUUAAAACUCAAAGGAAUUGACGGGGGCCCCGCACAAGCGGUGGAGCAUGUGGUUCAAUUCGACGCAACGCGAAGAACCUUACCAGCUCUUGACAUGGGUAGUAUGGGCCUGGGCGACUGGGUCCUUCAGUUCGGCUGGCUACCACACAGGUGCUGCAUGGCUGUCGU